UACGAAGGGGGCUAGCGUUGUUCGGAUUUACUGGGCGUAAAGCGCACGUAGGCGGUUCUUUAAGUCAGCGGUGAAAUCCCAAGGCUCAACCUUGGAACUGCCUUUGAUACUGGGGAUCUUGAGUCCGGGAGAGGUGAGUGGAACUGCGAGUGUAGAGGUGAAAUUCGUAGAUAUUCGCAAGAACACCAGUGGCGAAGGCGGCUCACUGGCCCGGUACUGACGCUGAGGUGCGAAAGCGUGGGGAGCAAACAGG
rnacentral:rRNA from 1 species